AGAGCUUCUACCUCAAUUCUGUAUUGCUGACGUGGCAAUAUAAUUCCACAUAAGUAUAUUAUUUUAAAAACACAAAUCUAACAUUUCUCUACCCCAAUUCCCUUUCUCCCGUCUCUCACAUCCGAUUCUCCCCUCCCCCACCGCGCCCCGCUCCUCCCACCGCCGCGAUCUGCCUCGCCGUCCCACCCCGCCCGCUUAUUCUUUCCCCAUUUUAACACCAGACUCGACCUCCCUCGCUUCAAUUUUCCGUAGUCCGGCCCCAAGUCAGUGCCGCCGCCCCUUUCUGUACACACUUUCGUGUUAUUUUUCAAAUCUUUAAACCUGAAACCCUACUCAUCGGUCUCUCUCCCACCGCCAGCUCCUUCUCUCAACUGCCGCCCCAAACGACCUUGUCUUCAUGGAUGGGCUCAUUCAUCACCCGAAGUCUAGCCAUCGGAGACAGCUGACGGCGAAGCUCGGCUACCCACGCCCUAAUUUCGUCCCCAAAUCGAUCCCCACCCCCGUCGCCGAUGGCCCGUUCCAAGCCCCAGGCUGCCCAACCGCAAUUUCGUUGCACUUUCGUUGAUUCGCCGCCGGUAUUCUCCAUGUUCCGAAAUUCGCCAUCGAGGAAUUCAAAGUGCCUCUCAACCAUCUGCUGACGGUAUGAUUCUAUUUCUAUUUCCAGUUCCAUCUUUCUGAGCUAUAUUUUUAUUUGUUGAGUCGGCCCAAAGGAUUCUGAGGAAUAUGAUUUGUGAUAUGGAGUUGGUAACUUAUCUGAAUGUUAACUUAACAAUCUGUAGUAAUUUGUGGGGGCCUUUUGUGUUGUAUCAUUUCGUUACUUGAAUACAUCACUACUCACAACAAAAGAAAAUUUUGAUGCUUUGUUGGUCCAGGAUCUUUGAACAGGAUGGAGUUAUAUUAGUGGUUGAUAAUAUUUCAUUUGACUUUGUAAAAUGUGCUACUAUUGAUUAUGUUGACGAGCUUAUGCGUUCUGCCUUAAAGGUCCGUUUGUGGUAGCUGCUUAUUUAUAGUAUUUUAAUAACUGAUGUUAUCAAUCCUUUGCCAGUAAAAAAUUGUGAUCUUAUAUGUGGUGAGAGUAGAAAUCACUGUUGACUUAUCAUGGUAUUUCUACAUGGAUAAAACAACUAACAAAUUCGCUGUAAAUUAUUUUAUGAGAUUCUGCACCUUUGAGAUGGUACAUUUUGUAAAUUAGUUGGUCUAGAUUCUCAUUGUACUCAUUUUCAAUCAUUUAUUAAUUUCUUUGUCAAUCAUAUGUUAGUUUAUUUGUUUA